rnacentral:lncRNA from 1 species
CUCUGUUGCCUCUGCUGGUAGAUGUUGUAACUACACCAUUAUGAAGGUAAAAAAAAAAAAACGUUUGGACAUUCACACCUUUUUAAAAAAGUAGCUGUGUAUUCUGUUAUACUACAAAUAUUUUAUAUGCAUACAUAUAUACUACAAUUAUUUAAUUUUAUUGCAGUGCAUUGUAUGUUUUACCAAUGACAUUUCUUUUUUCCAAAUAUAGGGUGACUACAUGGCAUUUGCUGACUAGGUGAUUGCCUAGAAAAGAAUCUUUCCAGAACUGAAGCAAAGAUGACAUUUGAAGGUAACUCUAUCGCCCCCUUGAGACUUGAUGUGCAAAAACAGUUACAAAGAGGUGCAUGCAAGCUGCUUCCGUGGCCCCCGGAGAGAGGGACGUUACGUGGAGGGUGAGGCAUCCCAGAAUAUGAGGAUAAAUUGCAGGUAAUCCUGCAGGACUGGCGCCCUGGUAAUCAACACUCUUCCAACUGGAAACAUUUUACAAUUCUUCAUCUUAAUUUAACUUCUCUUUUUUUCUACUGUUCCUUUACCUGGCAAUUCUUAGCAGCGGGUGCAAUCAUUUGCACUGGCGUUUGAAAGGAGAGGCUGUGGAAAUGCGAAAUGGAGAGCUUUUAAAAGGGGGGGAAGGGGGCGAUAAGCAAAUCAAAUUAAUGACAAUGAGUGUUUGUGGAGAGAAGGCAGGCAGAGAGCUUGUUUGAGCCCAUCGUGCGUGCCAUGUUAAACACUUCACUCGCCGUGGAGGGGCUAAUCCAGUCUCCGACAGCUAGCUGAUUAUACGAAUAAACUACACACGCUCGCCGCGGAGAGAAAGGAGCAUCCCUCGUUAACGUUCAAGCUCACUCCAACAAGGAAGUAAUUAAGAUGCCAGCCCUCCCCCAACAAACCAAAAAAAAGAAGGAAUGAUUUUAAGUGUUUUCUAAUAGACCGGCUUGAAGGUGUUUAUUUUAUAUUGUCUCAGUGCAGAAGUCAUUAUGCGGCUGAAGAAGGGCUUACAGGGAGCUAAACGCGGUGCGGCGAGGCAAGACGAGUUUGUGGUUGUUGAGUAAAGUCAGAUGGCUGCAACACUCACUCUGCGAUGCACUCCAGAGUUGCAGGAGCAUAUGAACUGUCGCUUGUGUUUUAAAUAAUAGAUUGCCUACCUUAAUUUCAUGCCUGAUAUUUUUGGCAUGGGUUAGAGCUUUUGGAUGGGCAGCAUCUGUCAGACCUCGGCGGAGGCCAAGAAAACAUUCCCCACCCAAGCUGUAAGAGAAAAAAAAGCUUGUGUUUAGCUUGAAUAUUGCGACAGUCGGCCACCGGCUCUGCAGGUUACAGGCACUGCAGGAAGCUGGUAAAACAGAACUUUUAAUAGAUUUCAAGAAAUUUCCAAUCCUUUUUGAGCACUUUUCUCAUUGGUUUUAGUUUCGUGUGGAGUGCUCGUGCGAUUGAUGGUUAAGUAGUUUAACAGUGAUUACAGUGGAGUGAUAUUUGAUUAUUAUCUCCUGAAACAGCAACUCCUCCGGCUUUCUGUUCUCUUAACAAUAGUUUAAUUGUUAGUUUGGACACCCACUCAAUAGACAGCCGAAAUGAAGAGCAGUAAUGGAAGAGAAUUAUGGGGGGAAUGGUAUAAAACAGAACCUGCAUGUCUAUUUUUUUAAAUUAGAUAUAUUUUGAUUAGCCACGAGAGCGUCUUUACCAUGACCUGUUCAAUCAAUAACACGUGUUGGAAUUUUUAAAGUACCGGAGCUCUAUUUAUAAUGAGUUUUUCAUUUUAAUCAUUUUUCAGUGUGAAAUAAAGCUCAGAUAAAUGUUUUGCAGUUUCAUCAUUUUUUA